CAUCUCCCCCACCUAGCCGAGCCAAAUCCCCUACACCCCCGCGUCGGAGUCUGGAUUCCCCACGGUGGUUGGCCUCCUUUUUUCUCCAUCCUCUCCUCGAUUGCCGAUACAAUCGCCACCUGCCGCCUAUUCUCCCAGCAGUCAUCAUUGUUCAGCUGGUCGAAGCAGGGCCUCUCCAUGGUUUUCCCGCACCAGCUGUUCAUGGCGGCGCGACCGCUGCAACACGUUAACCUGCCGACCGCCACCUCAGCGUUCGGCUCCUGUGAAAGGAUAGUGGGUGGCCGCCGAGCAGGGCAAACUGCUCUGGUUUCUUCACCUCCUCCAUCAUUUUUUCUUGCACAGCGGACGUCGUCCACGCGUUCGAGCUUCCCCACUGGCUGUUCCGCCGUCUGACUGUCCGACGACGAGCGAGGCGGCCGCCGGCUUAGAGAUGCUCGAUCAGAUCAGAGAGGGCGCCUGCGGGAAAGUCGACAUUGCGAGGGAUCUGAUUCCGACGCCACCGUCCGUUGUCAACAAAGUUGACAUUGCAAGGGAGACGUGGAGACAAAGACGAACAUGAUAGUCACCCUCGACAAGAUCCGCGUGAGCAUAGGGUGUUCUUCAGGUGGGGGCGCAUCCGGCACGGGCGCUGGUAGGGGGAACGUCGGGUUUCCGAUCCGGCCGCCAACCAGCGAACACAAGAUCCCCAAGUGCCCCUGCACCAGCUCCAUGUAUCCCCCGAUUCCACCAGGUGUCUAAUUCCUUGACGCUGGGAGCAAGGUGACCUCUGUAACCUCCGUUGUUUUAUGUGCACCUUGCUUCUGAGCACGUUUCAUUUCAUGCAUUGUGUUCUUUGGAAAAGGAGUCACCUGAAAAGAAGUCACUAGAAAAAGUUGAAGCUGAAGUAAGAUUGGAGUUAUCUCAGAGGCUCCAAAGAGCUGCGGUUUGUAAAUAUUUGUAUAUUUUUUUCAAGUUAUUAUUUGUUAACUACCGAUCUCUCUAUUCUUCUGCGCUUGACAAUCUUUAGAUCCGCAGUGAUAUUCUGUUGGUAUACUUUGCUCGGAAGGUGGGGGGUUUCAGUCCACUAAAUAAGUGAUUAUUGAUUCCUACGGGCAUCUUCAUGUUAUCAGAUGUUUAAAUCGAAUGGCUUACAUGGUACUUUAGACAUAUUUGUAAAUAUAACAAUUUAGGCAGUUUUAACUCCAUCGAUGGUUGAACUCUAGAUAACUUGGGCAGGUAGCAACAGUAUUAAAUUUCUUACAAAGUUUUUUCUUGCAAUGUAUUUUCUUAGGAAGUUGUUGGCAUCACCAAUAAAAAAAAAUAGGAGUUUCUGUUGCAUUUGGAAAGGCGCUUGGUAAGAUAAGAGAAAUUGGAAAAGUGAUUAGUGAAGAGGAAUUAAGUGUCAUGUCAUUUGGAUUUGACGAGCUAAAGUGUGAUAACAAGUGCCAUGCUAUCAUGCCUAUUCUAAUUAAUCAGGUAGUAUAUGUAAUUUAUCUAGCAUUUCAGAUAGGUAUUACAAUUAAAUACAAAAAAUAUCAUUCUUCUUCUACUAUUACCAGUCACUCAAAAAUCAUUCUUAAUAACCAGAUCUUAUAUAUUUGUAGUUUGUUCUAGCAUCUGAUGCAACAACUUUGAUAUUGAUUCCUUAGAUCUCUGAUCCUAAACUCAGGCCCGGAGAUUUGUGUUUACUGAUAAUGAAAAUGAAGACCAUUGACUGUUUGUUGUUGAUGUGUAAGUCCUUGAACAGAGGCACAAAGAUCCAGGUUUCUAACGAACAAUAAAAUGUGCUUAUAUCUGUUAUAAUAGCCUUUGUUCAAACAUGACGCUUUAUUCAUCAUGGGAUCCAUUUUGUCUAGGCAACUUGCAUUUAGUUGGGGCAUUGUAAAAAGUAUAAUUCACAUCAUUAGUUACAUAAGCCCCACAGGUAGAAACUGAUCAUUUUGUAGCUCUGUAAAUAAUCAUUUUCAACUAAAUAUACAAAGACUAUUAGAUGACAGGAAUAGCUACAUGACAUCCUUACGUCAUCAUCUGAGAUGAUGACAGUCCAAUUUGUAGAGAACUUUCCGCUAAUAGCCUUAGCGUAGUCCAAUUUGCGGCAAAACUCAUCAGGAUUAACUCAUCGGAGUUGGACUGUUUAUAUUGACGUAAGGUACUCCACAUGUCAGUACAUAGGGAUGCCUCAACUUUCCAUCUUUUCCCUAUGCAUAAACUAUUCGAAUUAUCAAAACUAAGAUUAUAGGAAAUACCGUACAUUAUGCUUAAAAUGGGUAUUUGCAGUGCUCCACCAUCACAGAAGAUGCACACUUCUUAUAGGUAGAAAAUCAUGAAUGCAUGCUAGCUGUAAGUGGUUGAAUUCAGAACUUUCAUUUUUCAGUAACUUUACCUUCAUUGCACCUGAUCAAAUAGCCUGCUCUGUAUGCGUCUUUGCUUCCUUCUCCCGGCUAUUAAACUCUUUAUCUUAUAACCUAGCAUGUUUUUUCUUCUAACAAUGCUUACGAACGUUUUAAUCUGAACUAUUGCGCCCUUUCUGUAGGAGGUUGCAAUGGGUCAUCAAGACUAUGGCAGAUGACAACACCGGCAAUUCAGGCAACAACACACCCUAUUCAUUGCAAUUCUAUCUUCUUGGAAGAAGUAAUCUUGCAAGAUGAAUUAACUAAGAAAAGGUGACUGGGACAUAUUGUCGGCCAGCGUUGCCAUUGCCGUCAUCAGAGACCAUUUGCACGUGUGUACCAUGCGCUUGCAUUGGUAAGAUUUCUUGGUCUUUAGUUUGCUACCCCCAUUUGUAAUUACUCUACAACUAAGACUAAGCAGCUUUUAUAUCUGGAUCUUAGUGCAUAAAUUCCUUUGGCAACCGAAUCCGAAAUAAGCAGCUUAGUCUUAGUUGUAGAUGCUAGCGAGGGUGUUACCACACCAUGAUUAUACAUCAUUAUACUGAAGGUAGGUAGAGAUGUGCAGGGUGUCACUUUCGCUGAUGAAUAUUAGUCAAUAGGUAUCAUAACUCGGUCAAUUAUGUGAGAAGUUUUAGUGUUACUUUUUUGUGGAGAGCGUUGAUGGCUGGAGAUUGUUGAAGCUCUUUGUUUGUUUGAAUCAGAUGCUACAGAUUUUCAUUAUAAAUACUACUGUUGUUUGACUGAAUGAAGUUAUUUAAAUUCAGAUGCGUUGUGCCUCUGAACUCUUUCCUCAAUGAAGGUACAAUAUGCAAUGUACUAUGGUUUGGACUUCGGAGUAGGGUGAAAAGCCAACUUUACCUUUCUCUAGGGGUAACCACAUGUGUCGCUUGAUGUUGUGGCCGUAUGUUCUCUAACAGUCAGUGAUAGGAAAAAAUGAACAAUUUUUUUCUUCAGAAAAUGUGUGGUCCUCCUAUACACAGAAUAAUUGCAGAAAUCUUAAAUGUAUAUCUUUAUCUAAGAAAUUGGCUACA